rnacentral:rRNA from 1 species
UACGUAGGGGGCAAGCGUUGUCCGGAAUCAUUGGGCGUAAAGAGCGUGUAGGCGGCCAGAUAAGUCCGCUGUGAAAUCUCGAGGCUCAACUUCGAGCUGUCGGUGGAAACUGUCUGGCUAGAGUCCGGAAGAGGAGAAUGGAAUUCCUGGUGUAGCGGUGAAAUGCUUAGAUAUGACAUAGAACACCGAUAGCGAAGGCAGCUUACUACAUGGAGAUUGACGCUGAGGCACGAAAGCGUGGGGAGCAAACAGG